rnacentral:rRNA from 1 species
GACAGAGGUGCCGAGCGUUAGGCGGAAUCACUGGGCUUAAAGCGUGUGUAGGCGGGCGGCCAAGUACCUUGUGAAAUCCCACGGCUCAACCGUGGAACUGCUGGGUAUACUGGUCGUCUUGAGCCAGCCAGGGGCGAGCGGAACAGACGGUGGAGCGGUGAAAUGCGUAGAGAUCGGAAAGAACACCAAUGGCGAAAGCACUUUACUGGGCUAUCACUGACACUGAGAGACGAAAGCUAGGGUAGCAAAUGGG